rnacentral:rRNA from 1 species
AGUGAACGCUGGCGGUAGGCCUAACACAUGCAAGUCGAACGGCAGCACAGUAAGAGCUUGCUCUUACGGGUGGCGAGUGGCGGACGGGUGAGGAAUACAUCGGAAUCUACUUUUUCGUGGGGGAUAACGUAGGGAAACUUACGCUAAUACCGCAUACGACCUACGGGUGAAAGCAGGGGAUCUUCGGACCUUGCGCGAUUGAAUGAGCCGAUGUCGGAUUAGCUAGUUGGCGGGGUAAAGGCCCACCAAGGCGACGAUCCGUAGCUGGUCUGAGAGGAUGAUCCGCCACACUGGAACUGAGACACGGUCCAGACCUCUACGGGAGGCAGCAGUAGGGAAUAUUGGACAAUGGGCGCAAGCCUGAUCCAGCCAUACCGCGUGGGUGAAGAAGGCCUUCGGGUUGUAAAGCCCUUUUGUUGGGAAAGAAAAGCAGCAGGUUAAUACCCCGCUGUUCUGACGGUACCCAAAGAAUAAGCACCGGCUAACUUCGUG